rnacentral:lncRNA from 1 species
UUCUCCAAGGAAACUGGUGCCUCAAAACACCCAUGUCAUCCUCUUUCUUCUUUGCCUUUUCUAUAAAAAAACCAUAGAUUUCUGACUCCCACCUACUAUCAUAUUGGAGGCACCAGUAGAUAAGGUAGACUAGGUCAAAUGACCUAGUCAAACAAGAAAACCAUGGGGCAUCCAACUCUUGGACGCCCCUUCCCUUAUUAUCUGCAUGGA